CCUCCCUCGGUGCCCGCGUUGCGCUGUGCCUCCCGCCCUGUGCUGUCCGGCGCCUGGACACGCUGCCCGUCAGGUCACCGGAGCAGGACAGCGUGGACCAGGCCCUGCCGAGCGGGUGCACAGCCCGCACUGCCGCCCGCGAACCUUUGGGGUCUGUCUUCCCGCAACUCUUCAUGCUGAGCUCAGUCACCCAGCAUAGACGACACCCACUCCUCGCCAGGGCCACAGAGCAGGCAGACGUGUGGCCCAUGCAGCUUCCCGGAGUCUCUGCACAGCCAGCAUUGCCCUGAGUGGACCCCACAACCAAGGGUGCAGCUGAGUCGACGACCUUGACGCACCACACUGUUUUACUGCUCCUGACCAAGUCAUCAACCAGCCUUAUAAAGUGAUUGUAUGAUCACCAGUCUCCAACUGCGUAGUAGAAUUUCUUUGUCCUGUCUUUGCGCUAAGAAUUCAGAGGCGGCUCCUCAGUGCUCUAACUGGGAGAGAGAGAGACAGCAUGAGCAGGGGAGGGUCAGA